rnacentral:snRNA from 1 species
AGAGCCUGUGCUGCUGAGUAUACUAAAACCGGAGCCACUCAGCAAAGAUUACCACGAGCCCUGUGCAAGGAUGACAUGCAAAUCCAUGAAGCAUUCUGUAUUAAA